UAGCUGUGAUACAGAGACAGUAUGAAUUGCUGUAGUAUCCAGGCAUGGAGAUAGUAAAAUAAGAGAGGCACAAGACAAACCAAACUGGGCUCUUCUCUCACCUACCUGGGGUCACAGCAAAAGAGCUUUCCAGCAAGUGGGGAGAAGAUAUCAAAGGGGGAAAUGACAUCACAAUGGUACCUCACUCUCUCUACAACACACCUGGAAACACCCGAGGAACAAAGACUGAACAGGGGUUCCUAGCCUGUGUACGAAAACCUGGGAAACCCAAGCUGCAAAGCAAAGGCCUCGAGAAUCUGCCAACCAGUUUAUCACUCAGGAUCUCGGUGCAUGACAAAGUUAGGAAGCCAUUAUUAUCUUCAGAUGGGGAACAGAGGCGCAGUGUUCCAUUAUGCAUUACCAUGGAAAAGCUAAACACGAAAACCAGGCUGACUCAACUCAUGGAGUGUCAAAUUCAGUUCGUCCAGAAAAUCUAUUUCCUUUUAAAAUUAGCAUAUCGCCACCUAAUGGAAUAAGGAGGAAAACAAUCAAAACCAGGAAAUAAGAACAGGCAUCUCAAACUCCCGGCCUGAGGGCCAUUUGCGGCCAGAGAACCUCCCCACUGCAGCCUGCGGAGGAGAGACACAGACACGCAGCCAGCAAUGUCUGCUGUAGGCACGGCCCCCUGUAGCUCCCACUGGCUGGAGGAGAGGGACAGAGAUCUCAUGAUUUGUUGCCAGGCAGAGUCAGCCCUGGAGGCUGCAUCAUUAGUUGCUGGGCAGAGUCAGCCAUGGAGGCAGCAUCACUUUUUUCCACAAUUAAUAUAAACAAGUCAAAAUACUGAACACAGCUAUCUGACGCACAC